UUCGCAAUGCCCGAAAGGGUGACGAAGCGACGCCGCGUGUGGGAAGAAGGCCUUCGGGUCGUAAACCACUGUCGGGAGUUAAGAAAUGCAAGGAUAUGAAUAGUGUCUUUGCUUGACUAAGGCUCCGGAGGAAGCCACGGCUAACUCUGUGCCAGCAGCCGCGGCAAUACAGAGGCGGCAAGCGUUGUUCGGAAUUAUUGGGCGUAAAGAGCACGUAGGCGGCUAUGUAAGUCGGUUGUGAAAGCCUUCCGCUCAACGGGAGAACAGCAUCCGAUACUACAUGGCUUGAGUGCGGGAGGGGAGAGUGGAACUUCUGGUGGAGCGGUGAAAUGCGUAGAUAUCAGAAGGAACGCCGGCGGCGAAAGCGGCUCUCUGGCCCAUGACUGACGCUGAGUGUGCGAAAGCUAGGGGAGCAAACGGGAUUAGAUACCCCGGUAGUCCUAGCCGUAAACGAUGGGCACUAAGUAGAGGGGUUUU
rnacentral:rRNA from 1 species